GAAUCAAAACGGAUAAAGAAUCGAAUUAAAAAUUUACGAAUAUUUUUCUAGCUUAUCCGUAAAUAAUACAAAUAAUAUAUGUAUAACUGGACUUUCGAUUCAUUAUCCGUUUUGAUUUGAAUCAAAAAACUCGAUAUUGUGAGUUUUAUUGGAACCUUACAUGUGACUUUUAUAUUUAAAAACAAAACGUAAAUUACAUAGUGUGAACAUAUUUAUGUAGAGUUUGACUGAAAAUCUCUCUACACGUGACACGUCAACGUUCUCAUUCUCAAAUCAUUGUGAAGCUGCCACGUGUAUAUUAUAGUGUGAACGUUUUUAUUACAAUGUUUCUUUUUAAUAUAUAUGGGAUAUAUAUUUUUUUGGUUCUUCUAAUUAAUUGCUUAAACAAUAAAAGGAAGGAGGGCAGAAGUGUAUUUACAGAGAAAGGAGGAGGACAUUUUGGUCUGACCGAGUCAAUAGAGAGAGGGAUUCGUCUCCAGUCAAUGACUCCUAAUUUGGUAUAUUCCUCGUAACGGCGUCGUUUCGUUCUUCAUUCACCCUAAAAAAACCAGAAAAUUUGCCUCUGAUCGUAUCUGAUCCCCAAAGGUUUGCUGCAAGGACAAUAAAAGAAGAGAAUCGAUCCUCUGUUUUCUGGUAAUUGAGCAUUCAAAUGGGAAGCUGCGUCUCUAAG